GACGGGGGGGGCAAGUGUUCUUCGGAAUGACUGGGCGUAAAGGGCAUGUAGGCGGUGAAUCGGGUUGGAAAGUGAAAAGUCGCCAAAAAAGUGGCGGAAUGCUCUCGAAAACCAAUUCACUUGAGUGAGACAGAGGAGAGUGGAAUUUCGUGUGUAGGGGUGAAAUCCGUAGAUCUACGAAGGAACGCCAAAAGCGAAGGCAGCUCUCUGGGUCCCUACCGACGCUGGGGUGCGAAAGCAUGGGGAGCGAACAGG
rnacentral:rRNA from 1 species